AACGCUGGCGGCGAUGCUUACACAUGCAAGUCGCAACGAUGAACUGGAGCUUGCUCCAGGGAUUAGUGGCGAACGGGUGAGUAACACGUGAGUAACCUGCCCUUGACUCUGGGAUAAGCGCUAGAAAUGGCGUCUAAUACCGGAUACGAGCUUCAGCCGCAUGGCUAGGAGUUGGAAAGAAUUUUGGUCAAGGAUGGACUCGCGGCCUAUCAGCUAGUUGGUGAGGUAAUGGCUCACCAAGGCGACGACGGGUAGCCGGCCUGAGAGGGUGACCGGCCACACUGGGACUGAGACACGGCCCAGACUCCUACGGGAGGCAGCAGUGGGGAAUAUUGCACAAUGGGCGAAAGCCUGAUGCAGCAACGCCGCGUGAGGGAUGACGGCCUUCGGGUUGUAAACCUCUUUUAGUAGGGAAGAAGCGAAAGUGACGGUACCUGCAGAAAAAGCACCGGCUAACUACGUGCCAGCAGCCGCGGUAAUACGUAGGGUGCAAGCGUUGUCCGGAAUUAUUGGGCGUAAAGAGCUCGUAGGCGGUUUGUCGCGUCUGCUGUGAAAUCUGGGGGCUCAACCCCCAGCCUGCAGUGGGUACGGGCAGACUAGAGUGCGGUAGGGGAGAUUGGAAUUCCUGGUGUAGCGGUGGAAUGCGCAGAUAUCAGGAGGAACACCGAUGGCGAAGGCAGAUCUCUGGGCCGUAACUGACGCUGAGGAGCGAAAGCAUGGGGAGCGAACAGGAUUAGAUACCCUGGUAGUCCAUGCCGUAAACGUUGGGAACUAGAUGUGGGGGCCAUUCCACGGUCUCCGUGUCGCAGCUAACGCAUUAAGUCCCCGCCUGGGGAGUACGGCCGCAAGGCUAAAACUCAAAGAAUUGACGGGGGCCCGCACAAGCGGCGGAACAUGCGGAUUAUUCGAUGCACGCGAAGAACUUACCAGGCUUGACAUAUACCGAAACGUCCAGAGAUGGUCGCCCGCAGGUCGGUAUACAGGUGGUGCAUGGUUGUCCUCACCUCGUGUCGUGAAUGUUGGGUUAAGUCCCGCAACGAGCGCAACCCUCGUUCUAUGUUGCCAGCACGUUAUGGUGGGAACUCAUAGGAGACUGCCGGGGUCAACUCGGAGGAAGGUGGGGAUGACGUCAAAUCAUCAUGCCCCUUAUGUCUUGGGCUUCACGCAUGCUACAAUGGCCGGUACAAAGGGCUGCGAUACCGUAAGGUGGAGCGAAUCCCAAAAAGCCGGUCUCAGUUCGGAUUGAGGUCUGCAACUCGUCCUCAUGAAGUCGGAGUCGCUAGUAAUCGCAGAUCAGCAACGCUGCGGUGAAUACGUUCCCGGGCCUUGUACACACCGCCCGUCAAGUCAUGAAAGUCGGUAACACCCGAAGCCAGUGGCCUAACCCUUGUGGAUGGAGCUGUCGAAGGUGGCAUCGGUGA
rnacentral:rRNA from 1 species